rnacentral:rRNA from 1 species
UACGUAGGGUGCAAGCGUUGUCCGGAAUUAUUGGGCGUAAAGAGCUCGUAGGCGGCCUUGUCAGUCAGGCGUGAAAGCCCCGGGCUCAACCUGGGAACGGCGCUUGGGACGGCGAGGCUGGAGUUCGGGAGAGGAGAGUGGAAUUCCCAGUGUAGAGGUGAAAUUCGUAGAUAUUGGGAAGAACACCGGUGGCGAAGGCGGCUCUCUGGGACGGUACUGACGCUGAGACGCGAAAGCGUGGGGAGCAAACAGG